AUUGAACGCUGGCGGCAUGCCUUACACAUGCAAGUCGAACGGUAACAGGCCGCAAGGUGCUGACGAGUGGCGAACGGGUGAGUAAUGCAUCGGAACGUGCCCAGUCGUGGGGGAUAACUGCUCGAAAGAGCAGCUAAUACCGCAUACGACCUGAGGGUGAAAGCGGGGGACCGUAAGGCCUCGCGCGAUUGGAGCGGCCGAUGUCAGAUUAGCUAGUUGGUGGGGUAAAUGCCUACCAAGGCAACGAUCUGUAGUUGGUCUGAGAGGACGACCAGCCACACUGGGACUGAGACACGGCCCAGACUCCUACGGGAGGCAGCAGUGGGGAAUUUUGGACAAUGGGCGCAAGCCUGAUCCAGCAAUGCCGCGUGCAGGAAGAAGGCCUUCGGGUUGUAAACCGCUUUUGUCAGGGAAGAAAUCUUCUGGGCUAAUACCCCGGGAGGAUGACGGUACCUGAAGAAUAAGCACCGGCUAACUACGUGCCAGCCGCCGCGGUAAUAC
rnacentral:rRNA from 1 species